rnacentral:piRNA from 1 species
UCAACUUAGCUCUCCUUUUGUGGUCCA